rnacentral:rRNA from 1 species
UACGUAGGGUGCAAGCGUUGUCCGGAAUUAUUGGGCGUAAAGGGCUCGUAGGCGGUCCAUCGCGUCGGGAGUGAAAAGCUGGGGCUUAACCCCAGUCCUGCUUCCGAUACGGGUGGACUAGAGGUAGGUAGGGGAGAUCGGAAUUCCUGGUGUAGCGGUGAAAUGCGCAGAUAUCAGGAGGAACACCAAUAGCGAAGGCAGCUCGCUGGGACGUUACUGACACUAAGGCGCGAAAGCGUGGGGAGCGAACAGG